rnacentral:lncRNA from 1 species
AUCAAUGGAAUCCAAAGAAAUACACGGUCGUUUGCAUGCUAGGCACGACCAUGUGUCAUUCCCCACAUAAGCCUUGCGCAAGGCUUAUAUCACCUGACAACACAUUUAAUAGUUCUCAAAAUAUGAUAUUUCCCAAUGCACCCUACCUCCAAGUCAAGUAACCAGGUGAGUUAAUCCGUCACUUUAUUUUUAUUUUUCAUUAUUUGCAUCACACUGGGGACAAUGUGUAGUUUAAGUGUGGGGAAGAGGCAUUCUGCAUUAUG